rnacentral:rRNA from 1 species
GAUGAACGCUGGCGGCGUGCCUAAUACAUGCAAGUCGAGCGAACAGACGAGGAGCUUUCUCCUCUGACGUUAGCGGCGGACGGGUGAGUAACACGGGGAUAACCUACCUAUAAGACUGGGAUAACUUCGGGAAACCGGAUCUAAUACCGGAUAAUAUAUUGAACCGCAUGGUUCAAUAGUGAAAGACGGUUUUGCUUUCACUUAUAGAUGGAUCCGCGCCGCAUUAGCUAGUUGGUAAGGUAACGGCUUACCAAGGCGACGAUGCGUAGCCGACCUGAGAGGGUGAUCGGCCACACUGGAACUGAGACACGGUCCAGACUCCUACGGGAGGCAGCAGUAGGGAAUCUUCCGCAAUGGGCGAAAGCCUGACGGAGCAACGCCGCGUGAGUGAUGAAGGUCUUCGGAUCGUAAAACUCUGUUAUUAGGGAAGAACAAAUGUGUAAGUAACUAUGCACGUCUUGACGGUACCUAAUCAGAAAGCCACGGCUAACUACGUG